rfam:Coccomyxa subellipsoidea C-169, whole genome shotgun sequence.
GAGAGCGCGGCUCGAGAGGGCCGCGCUAGUCGGGACCCGGUCAUUGUUGACGCCGAUCGGGAUCAGCCGGCAAGACCGUCAAAUUGCGGGGACGCGUUGCCAGGCCGUCGGUAGGGCCUUGUCGGGGAAACCCGUCAAGGCACCCGGGCUAAUCACCCGGGGUAUCCUAAGAACCCGACGGAUAGACGCUAUCCGCAGCCAAGUCCUAAGUGCCUGAUCCAGGCAUACGGAUGCAGUUCACAGACUAAAUGUCGGUCGGGAGCCGCUCGGCUCCUUAAGGUAUAGUCGGACCGCACCGAGAGGUGUCC